AAAAAAGAUAGCGAAAAAAAUUAUUCCUAAAGUUUAGACUAAAAGGAAUGUAUAAACCAAUGCUUCCAUAGAUUCGAUCGUGGUUUACAAUUAUAUCUUCCAUACCUGUUUAUUUGGGAUCGUCUCCCGGAUAAAUAAAGAACAAGAGUCAAAGAAAAGGCAGUGAUUCAAAUCUAGAUUUAUCUGGUACCCCAUCUAAAAAUCACAAAAAGAAAAUAAAAAAGAAAAGUAACAAGUAACAAAACAUAUUGUAUCAGACUACUUGUCUUCUUGUAGUUGGAUCUCCAAGCUUUUGGAAUGCUCCGAAUUCCAGUUGAGCAUCUAAAUCUGGAUCAAUACCAGCAAACACAUCUCGAAACAAGGUUCUAGCUCCAUGCCAAAUGGAUUUAGUUUUUGUCCCAUAAUCCCCCACUACUAUAUAUAUCGUGCAACGUGACAUUGUCUGUAUGUUUUUUUUUAUUCAUUCGAUUUUUUUUAAGCAUAACAUAAUAUAGCGUAUUUGUAUAAUUUAUAAUAUAAAAUAUUCUUCCUUUAAGCAUUCCUUAGCUCUGAUUUAUUGAAUUUCCUUUUAUCUAUUUCUUCAUCUUCAUCGAAAGAUAUAUCUUUCAAUGCAAUAGUUAUAUGACAAGUAGAUCUUUUUAUAGGAUAACCCCAUCCUCGAGCCAGGGGCUUUCAUUUUUUCACAGUUGCGUGUUACAGAUAACGCCAGCCACAAGGACCACUCUUGUGUUAUAACUAAUAUAAGAUAAAAUUAGGUGAUGCAAUAAAAUUAAAGAAGGGAGCGACGUUGAAUUAAGAAAAAUGAUUGAAGAAUUGUUAUUUUAUAGGUUAAUAGGUUAUUUAUCAUUGUCAUAUUCCCCAAAGUUUAUGUUUUGGACUGUUUAAAUUGUUCUAGUUAACGUAGCUAUGAUCCUGUCAGUUUUGGCUCAUUAUGUAUGGAUUCGAAUGAAACAACGAGAUUUACAAAAGUAAAUGAGCACAUGGGGACUUGGCAAAGUAUUCACGUCUAAAUAGAUAAAAUAUAGAUUUAAGAGCUUUCGGAAAAUUUGAUAUUUGUUGUUUGUACCGUACUUCGUCAAUCCCAAAGCCACCGAGCACUGGUCAACUCUGUACCUUCAAGGACCCACUGAAGAUUUGAUGUGGAGGCACUCUUGCCAAAGCAGACGAGUUCCUCUCCAAUAAAGAGAGCAAUCACAAAACGACACAUGUCAACAUCAGAAUAAAGCUCCUAGAGUCCCAGAUCAAUUGUGGACAGGAUCCGAAAACUUUCCGCAUCCUUAAAAAGCGAAUGUUCUCUUGCAAUUAAUUUCUAAUGUCUUUAUUGUACUUAAACUCGUCAUUAGAACUCACUAAUGAUGAUUAUGCUUAAACCUAUGCAUGGUGUAAACUCUUCACUAUUAAUAAGAACUCAUAUACCCUCAUAACGUAACCUAACUUAGGUUGAACCACGUACAUCUUGUGUUUGCUUCCCUACCUCUAUCUUUUUACAUAUUAUCCUCACCAGGUGACCGGACCAAUCUUGCGAAGGUCACAAACUUGUCCCUUAACGUUGUUCCAAAGUCUAACUGAUUUUGCGUAUCAACAUUUUACACCGUUUAUGGGGACGACACUAAUUCCUACUCUCACCAGCUUUGUCAGACUAGUUUCUAUUUGAUAAGGCAUCGCUCUCCAACAUGGGGAGUGAAGGAAAGCACAGCAUGCAGAAAAACACCCAUUGCAUGCCUAGUGUGAGGCAGCGAAUGAGGGAAAGAAACAAGCCUGUUCUUCAAACUAAAGUCCAAGAGGUUAGAACUCAGAAUAAAAUAUAAAAAAUGGUGAUACGGAAUGAGAUCCUCCAACAGUAGUAUGUGAAGCUCUUCGAGAUGUUUCACGAGGUUAUACAGACUCAGUCUCAAGAGUCAUUGCCCUCUUGACAGCGGAUCAACACAUAGGUACCCACGCGAAGUUUCACAUGUCUUCAACACGGGGAUUCUUAAUAAGGAAUGGCCUUCUACCCAAGAUAUUGAUCAACACGAGACUUCUCUCAACCCAGCUGCUUCAAAUUGAAACAAGAUAAGUGGAAAAUGACAUCUCCUUGCAAAAGGAUUGGAAUGAUCAAAAGCUGGUUAUCGCGACUGUCAAGACCUCUUAGGCAUCGUCGAGAAAAACCUAUCCAUAUAGACUCAAGGAUCAUUGACCCAAGGGUCAUCGAAGGAAUCAGUCUGUUACCAUAACCAAGGUCAACUACAAACCUAAGGAAGAAACGACAAGACUUAGAUGGACAAGAAGGUGUUUGAGUCUCGAGGAACUUCCAACCGAAAUUUCCAUGAAGCCAGUAUGGUGAAUAAAAAAAAAAGUCACAUACUCUUGACUAAACUUCUCCACUUCCAAAAAAUGAUGGAAACUUACGAAGGAGGGUUCCAAUAGUCCCUGACUCCACUCAGGACCCCCUUAUCCUACAGGUUUUUUAGGAAGUGAACAGACUAAAGGCCAAACGCCAUGCCAAGGUACCUGACUGGAAUUAGCCGAGGCCAGGCUCUCUGAUAAGAAGGAUCUUUGGCACCCCUCUACAAGGAGAAACAAAAUAGAAGAUUGGUUUGCUAUCGUAAAUUGGUGAGGGGGAAGACCCAAUUAAGCAUAUCUAUCUCUUUGAAUCCACCAUGGUAUACCGAGGCAUAAUAAUGAAGAACGAUGUCUCAUUUUCCCCUUCAUUCUUUCUGUGGGAGCUCUCAAUUAGUAUUGUUGUCUUCAACCUGAUACAAUAGAUUCUUUCACUAAGCUUAAGAGACUUUUUGUGGUGCAACGCAUCUUCUAGGCUGAUUGCUUACACUCCGCUAAACAUUUAUACACCAUUCGUCAGAAGUCAAACUAGUCAUUAUGUGAAUAUGCCCGUAGCUUCAGCCACAAGUAUUCUUUUGCGUUGUGGUAGAUUAUAAAACAACACUCAGGGCCUUCACAAUAAGUGUCCACAUACACUUUUUCCCUUCGACAUGUGUUACAAUGUGCCUCAAGAACUCGUCAUUAUUCUCACCCACUUGGUUAUGAAGGAACUCACAUUCGUAUCACCAACCAAGUGAUAAUUUUUUUCCUUUGGCAACUUACCACCCUUUCCACCAACUAGGUAAUGAAAGAACUCACCUUUGUCCACUAACUAGGUGAUGGAAAGUACAACCAGUACUCCACUCUUUUCACUAACCAGGUAAGGAAGGAACUCACCUUGUAUCACCUUGCAGUAUGAAGCGUUAUUAACAUCUCCUUCAACUGUGCCAGAAUGUCAAACAUUGUAGUAUAUACAAGGAGACCGAAGACUCUCAUCAACUAUAAAAGGGAGAUCGUUCUCGUACAAUUAAUUCCUAAUAUCAUUAUUGUGCUUAAACUCGUCAUUAGGACUCACUAAUGAUGAUUAUGCUUAAACUUAUGUCUUGUGUAAAAUCUUCACUAUUAAUGAGGACUCUUCUACCCUCAUGGACGUAACCCAAUUCAAGGUGAACCACAUACAUCUUGUGUUGCUUUCCUACCUUCUAUCUCUUUAAUUAUGAUCCUCAACAGGUGACCGGAGCAACCUCGCGAAGGUUACAAACUUGACACUUUACGUUGUUCGAAUGUCUCACAGAUUUUGUGCAUCAACAUUUGUAAAUAGUUUGCUACAAGCUAUUGAGCCGGCGCGAUUUGUUUUAAAAAUGUGUUAAACAGGUGGAAUAUAUUAAAAUCUAUUAGAAUCCUUCUGCUUAACAAAGAAUAAAAAAAAAAAGAUGUUUGUAGUAUAUAGCAAAAGUUUUAAAACUCAUUAAUUCUUCUUUCUAUGUAAAUUUGACAAAUAUAAAUCAAACAAAUCUAUUAGAAUCUUCUGCUUAACAAAGAAUAAAAAAAAUAGAUGUUUGUAGUAUAUAGCAAAAGUUUUAAAACUCAUUAAUUCUUCUUUCUAUGUAAAUUUGUCAAAUACGUACAAUCCAAUCUUCAACCAAUUCAAGCGUAUACCUUUUCUUUUGUUGUAUCAAAUUUGUCAUGUCACCCAAGGUCAUAUGGAAAGCCAGCUAACUGAAAACAUUUGUGUUAAGUUGUGCAAAAAGUUGAGUACGCUUUAACUGAAAAAAUAACCACUAAUACAAUUAGGCAAGAAGGGGAAGGAGAUAAUCAUGAGGAGCUGGAAAUAUUUUGACUUCAACAAGAAGAUAUUGACAAGGUUUUACAUACGUACUAGCAAACUCCAAGUUGUGGUAUCAACUCCAAAAACAAAAACAAAAAAAACAAAAAUCUUACUUGGGCAACAUCCAAAAAAAAAUGAGUAAAGAAUUUUUGAAGUCUUUUUUCUUCAAUGACUCGGGAAAUAUAAGACGCCUCCUUCGGUAAUCCUCAUCGAUAAGAGACUUGGGGGACUCCCAUUAUAUGCUAAUACACUUUAGUACUCAAACGUUUCAUGAGUACUCACCAAUUUGGGUUCUACAAGUCCCCAAACGAGAAGCUUUCCUCACUCGUGAACUUGGGGAACCACUGUUUGUUCCAUACUUCCCCACCCCCAAAACUACUUAGCACCAGUCAACUUCAUACCUUCAAGGACCCACUGAAGAGUUCAUGUGGAGGCACCCUGGCCGAAGCACACGAGUUUUUCUCCAAUCAAGAGACCAAUCACAACACGACACGUGUCAACCUAAAAAUAUAACUCCUAAAGUCCCACAUCAACCGGGGACGGGAGCCGAAGACCCUCAUCAACUAUACAAGGAGACCGUUCCCGUACAAUUAAUUCCUAAUGUCAUUAUUGUGAUUAAACUCGUCAUUAGAACUCACUAAUAAUGAUGAUUAUGCUUAAACUUAUGUCUUGUGUAAAAUCUUCACUAUUAAUGAGGACUCCUCUACCCUCGUGGACGUAGCCAAAUUUAAGUUGAACCACUUACAUCUUGUGUUGCUUCCCUACCUCUAUCUCUUUACAUAUUAUCCUCACUAGGUGAUGGAGCAAACUUGCGAUGGUUACAAACUUCGCACUUUACGUCGUUCCAAAGUCUCAAUGAUUUUGUGCAUCAACAUUUGUAAAUAGUUUCUUACAAGCAAUUGAGCCCGCGCAAUGCCACGAGUUUUAAAACUAUGUUAAACAUGUGAAAUAUAUUAAAAUCUAUUAGCAUCCUUAUGUUCAACAAAGAAUAAAAAAAUAGACGUUUGUAAUAUAUAGCAAAAGUUUUGAAACUCUUUAGUUCUUCUAUGUAAAUUUGACAAAUACGUACAAUCCAAUCUUCGACCAAUUCAAGGGUAUACUUUUUCUUUUCUUCUAUCAAAUUUGUCAUGUCACCCAAGGUCAUAUGCAAAGCCAGCUAACUGAAAACAUUUGUGUUAAGUUGUGCAAAAAGUUGAGAACGCUUUAAUUGAAAAAAUAAUCACUAAUACAAUUAGGCAAGAAGGAGAAGGAGAUAAUCUUGAGGAGCUAGAAAUAUUUUGACUUCAACAAGAAGAUAUUGACAAGGUUUUACAUACGUACCCGUAAGCUCCAAGCUGUGGUAUCAACUCCCAAAAAAAAAAAAAUGGUCCCAAACAACAAUAUAGAAAUCUUUUAGUCCAUCUUAAACUUUUUUUUUGUGGCCUUGCUUAUUAUUGUACUUAUUAACAAUUACUACUAUGUCGAGGCGAGUUUCUUUACAAUAGCACCAAGAAAAAUAAUAACUUAUUACAAUGUGGUAUUUAUUCCUGAACCCCAACUGGGACCGAAACUGUUUAUGACUAUAAAUAAGUUAUUCCUUUAUGUACAGAUGUUUUACUGUAGCAUUCACAGCUCUUAUAGCUUUUUAUUGAAUUAUUGAAUCCCAAAGAAUACUUACAUUAUUGAAAGGAAAUACAAAUGCAGAAGGAAUUGAAAUACAAAUACAUAAGAAGGAAAAUUAUCCACUUAAAUGUUUAUAAUCAACAAUAAAUUUCUUUUAAUUUCUUCAAUUCUUCUUAAGCAAAUUUUGAACCAAUGUGCUGAGAGUUUUGGGUGUCUUUUCAGCCCAUCAUUAUAAUCCACGUAGUUUAAACCAAAUCGGACGGUGUAUCCAGAAUUCCAUUCAAAGUCGUCCAACAAUGUCCAUGGAAAGUAUCCCUUCACUUUCGCACCAUUUCUGCACACACAUACACAAAUGUUCAAAUGGAUUAGGUCAAUAUAAUGAUUAAAUAACAAUAACUUAAGAAGGCUAGGCAGUAUAUAGCCUUAAUUAAUUUGUUAAUAACUACUUACUUGAUCGCCGCUUGAAGGUAACAUAGGUGACGGUAGUGGUAGUCAAUUCUACCGGUAUCAAGAAGAGCCUCGUCAAUUGAUAGUUUGGGAUUAUUCGACUCUGAUACACCUACGUACAUAUUAUUGCACAAAAAAUUAAAUUUAGCUUUUUCCUCUAAAAAUAUAAAAAAAACAUGCAGUUUUAGUUAACACCAUUAUAAAUAUGUGAAACUUUUGCAAUUAAUCAAGGCUUAAAAGUACGUAUUACAUACCAUUCUCAGUAAUAUAAAUGAGUGGAUCAUUAUAUUUUUCCUUUGUGUAGAGCACAAGAUCGUGAAUUCCUUUUGGAUAUACAUAUAACCAAUCUGAAGCAGUCUGCAACACCAUUUCAAGAUAAUACGUAAAUGUUGGGGAAAAAAGCUAAUCCUCCAAAUGCAAAUAGCUCAAAAUGAUAAAUUUGAUGUAUACCUGUGGACCAAUAAGUACUCCAUUAAGCUCAGCUGCCACAAUAUUUACAAACAUUAGAAUACAAUUGGUGUAAAUAUUAGAAUAUAAUUAAUGUAAUUAAGAGGUUAAACUAGGUCAAGAAGAACCGAGAACUGAAGCUAUUCAAAGUAAGAUCCUUUGGCACUCACUUGUAAGAUCAGCUCGAGGAUCUGUUACGAAGCUUGCCUGUAGUGAAUUGUUCUUAGGUGUACUAGUUGUGUAUCUAGCAGUAUAAUAAUUUAUUCCAAGAAAAUCAAAUGAUCCGUUUAGCAACUUGGAUUGUUCUUUUGUGAAUUUUGGCAAUCUUUUCCCAACAAUUGAUCGCAUGCUGUGUGGAUAGUCACCACUUGUUAAAGGGUCCAAAAACCUACAAAACAAGAAAAUUCCAAAUAUUAGCCUAAUUAUAGCAUUAUAGAUAAAUAGUACUGCUAGCUAGGUAGUAUCAAUGUUACAAGUCAUAAGUAAACAUGAUGUAAUUGGGUUUAUGUAUAAUUUAAUAAGACACUUGCCAUCCAAACAUAAAAUCCAAAGAUCGUAAGGCAGCAUCUUUAUCUUGCUUUGACUCCGAAGCAGGCUCAAACCAGUAUGACACCAAUGUUAUCCCUAUCAAGCCUUUCUGAGAUGCCUGCACAAAAAUAUGAAUUUUGGUUGAAUAAAUAGGAGUUAUAGAAAAAGAUACAACCAUUAGAUUAUCUUACUACUGAGAGUAUUCCCUCUUGUAUUACAACUCAAUAAUAAAGAUUCAUAUAGAAUUCUCGAUUAGGAGCCAAUAAUCUGACCCAAAAAACAAAAUAAAAAAAAUUAAAAAAAAAACAGUUAUUGAACCUGAUAUCUAUUCCUGUACAAUUCUACAGCUGCUCCAUGAGCAAGAAGAAUGUGGUGUGUCACCAAGUAUGGUUCAAUGGCUGAAUCUCCACCGGUGCAGUUUAGGUUUUGCCAAGAAGAGCAGCGUCCCGGUGCUAGAGUCCCAACAGCAUAACCCAUGUUACUAAAAGUAUAUGGCUCAUUUACCGUGAACCAGUGCUUGACUCGAUCACCAAAUUCCUUAUAACAAAGUUCUGCAUAGUCUUUAAAAUGAUCUCUGUAGAUACAAAUUUAAGUUACGUAUAUCAGUAUGUAUUUUAUCAAAUUAUCAACGACAAAAUAAAUUUUGUUCACUUACACAAUACGAGGGCUUAAGAAACCACCAUAUUCAUUUUCUAAAGCUUGCGGAACAUCCCAAUGAAAGAGUGUUACAAACGGCUUUAAACCUAUAAUACAUGAUCAGUAAAAUCAAAUUAAAAGUCUGAUUGAAUGAUGUUCUAAAAAUUCAUGUAAUAAUUCUUUAAGGUUGGAUGAUUUACCAUUGCGUAGGAGUUCAUUGAUGAGAUUGUUGUAAUAAUCAAUUCCUUUCCUGUUAACGCCACCACUUAACGUUCCAUCUAAUUAGAACAAAAAUAACAAGAAAAAAAAAGGGUUACCCAGUAGAUAACUCGAUCACAUUACUUUAGUUAAAAGUAUAUAAAGAGAAUAAUUUUCUUGUAGGAAAACUAAUUCUUAUGCACAAUAUUGUCAAUGGUCCCAACCAAAAAACGAGAACGUGGAGCAACUUACUUGGUAAUAAUCUGGACCAUGAAAUAGAUAAUCUGUAAGCAUCCAAAUUCAUAUCCUUCAUAAUCCCCACAUCUUCCUAGAAUGACAAAAGUUUAAAAUUAAAUAUUGAGGAUCUCAUUAUAUAUUGUUCUUUUUUUUUUUUGUAAAGGCUCCAAUUUAAUAUGUUAACAUGUGCCCUUCAAGUAUAAAGGGUCAAGAGACAAAGUUAUGAGGUUUUAGACCUUAUAGCGAUGAUAUUGAUCAAUAGCGACGUCUCCGUUACUGCCAUCAGCGAUUUUUUCUGCAGUUAUUAAAAAACAUAAUGGUGAAAUCCAUAUCAUGUGCAAAGUACUUUAUAUGCGUGCGCACUGAUGAAGUAUAUACAUAUAUUGUACAUAUCACAUGACCACGUACUAUUGGUCUCCCAACAAAGUGCAUGGCUAUUAGAGAGGUUGUAGUUUACUUGUCCUCACGAAGAAAAGAAUGAGGUGCUAUUUCUACUCCUUUGAAAUGAAGUAGCAAAAGUUUUCAUAUUACCAAUUGAUUAAAUCACAGACCUGGAUGUUUGUGGGUGAAGGUAUCCCAUAUGCUUGGUCCUCUUCCAUCUUCUUUUACUGCACCUUCAUACUGAAAUACACACACAUGCAUAUACGUAAGAGUACUACUACACACGCAAGGAAGAUGACAACAUUAUAAUUCAUGCAUGGAUGCUAACUGCAUGUAUAAAAUACACCAAAAAUAUGGUAAAUAAAGACAGAAGAUAUAUAUAUAUAUAUAUAUAUAUAUAUAUAUAUAUAUAUAUAUAUAUAUAUAUACUGACCUGGUAAGAUGCGGAACCUGUGCCAAAUAUGAACCCUAGUUCAAAACUGCUGCGAUUGAGAAAUUCGCAAUGAACAGGUGGAUCUGUAUUAGUUGCUUUGCCAUUUGUCAAUGCAAAGCCAAUGAGUAGCAGCACACCAAAGAGCAAACAUCGUGAAUAUUUCAUUGCCAUAACUUGGGAGUUUUGAUAUCGAUCGAGAUAAUUAAGUUAUCUCCUCCGGGAAUAUUGCAUGGGGUUUAUAUAGAGAAAGGGAGGAAGGGAUAUGGUGUCUACGUACUAGCUCAUGAGAAUAGUAAAGGGUUAAAAUUUGUAAACAAAAUUGGCUUUGAAAGUCCUAGUUUAAAGACCAAGUUAUGGUAUGUUUCAAAAAAAAAAAAAAAAAAAGACCAAGUCAUGGUCUGUAGUUUAAAAGAAAGCACGUUCCAUGUACCCAAAAGUUGCGUAUAUAUGUACGUAAAAGAACGGAUGAUCCUUGCGUUCCACCUAUGAGGAAUGCACAUAUUCCACAAAUUUUAUGUUGUGAUCGUUUAGUUUCUUAAUCUUUAUUGGAAAAUCAUCUAAACAAAAAGACUUAUAUUGAACUAUUCAUUUUAUUGAUAUAUUUGGAUAACUAAACAGUCUUCAAUUUGAAUAGUUUUUUUGUAUACAUGAUAUUCAAAUUAAGAUAAAAAAAUUAAUAACUUAUUCAAACAGUAGAAAACUACUUGACCCAGCAAAAAAGUAGAAAUUUAUGACCAGAAUUCUUUACGUAAGUACAUAACGGAUAAAGAUGAAGAAUUUAAUCUUGAUCUUUUUGUUCUUGUUAGAGUUUUAGUAUUGAAUCGGUAAACCCAGUGGUUUUGUGAAAUUGUCUUUCCACUCUAAUUAAGAAGGCAUCGAAAUAGCUAGGUUCUCAAGUUGGCUAUUUUGCUCCUAAAGAUUGUGAAAGGAUUCCAUUGGGGUGGCUUUUUCGAAGGUUUGGACACCUUCAAAGUAUAGUAGUUACACAUUCUUCUUGCUAGUACAAGAAUGAGAAUAGUAAAGGGUUAAAAUUUGUAAACAAAAUUGGCUUUGAAAGUCCUAGUUUAAAGUCCAAGUCAUGGUCUGUAAUUUAAAAGAAAGCACGUUUCAAGUACCCAAAAGUUGUGUACGUACGUUAAAGAAUGGAUAAUGCUUGCGUUCCACCUAUGAGGGAUGAACAUAUUCUACAAAUUUUAUAUUGUCAUCGUUCGGUUUCAAAAUAUUUCUUUCAAGAUCAUCAAAACAAAAACAAUUAUUUGAAUCUGAGAUCGUUUAGUCAUUUAAAUAUAUGAACCCAAUUGACAGUGUCGACACUAAGUAAAAGAUUUAUAACGAACUAUUUUUAUUGAUACAUUUGGAUGACUAAGCAGUCUUCAAUUGGAAUAGUUUUUUGUAUAUAUGAUAUUCAAAUUAAGAUUAAGAAAUUAAUAACUGAUACUACAAAAAUACUUUAUUUAUUAAAAAAAAAAUUCCUUGAGUUGAAAAGUAAGAUAAUGUACACAACAGUUCGAUCGAUCUCAUCUUAAUUCGAAAUGAUCAAUCCUUGAGUUACCCUUGAGUUUUCCAGGCAAAGAAAAUGUUUUCUGUAUUCGGAAACAAAUAGUCAUUUAUCUGCAUGUUUAUAUUAUGUCUGUCCAACUGUUGAAGGGCAUAACUUUUGAAGUUGAAUAUGGACGAUUAGCUACAGAGACUUAUUCAAACUAUAGAAAACUAUUUGACACCACAAAAAAGUAGAAAUUUAUGACCAGAAUUCUUUACGUAAGUACAUAAUCGAUAAAGAUGAAGAAUUUAAUCUUGAUCUUUUACUUCUUGUUAGAGUUUUAAUGUUGAAUCCGUGGACCCCGUGGUUUUGUGAAAUUGUUUUUCCACGCAAAUUAAGAAGGCAUCGAAAUAGCUAGGUUCUCAAAUUGGCUAUUUCGCUCCUAAAGAUUGUGAAAGAUACCAUUGGGGUGGCUUCUUAUUGGUAGUACAAGAAAUUGAUUAGCUGUUUCAGAAAACAGGUUUUUUAUUAGCUUACAUCUAUUUAUUUUGAUUUAAUAUUUUUUUACAAUUCAAAAACACAAAAUUUUGACCCCCCCCCUAAUUUUUUCUAAUUUUUUUCUUUAUUUGAAUUUUUGGGACUUAUAUUGAAUUUUAAUGUGUAUCACAACCUGAAGGGAUUGGGAGGGACGGUCAUUUCAUUUUUGGAUAUAGAACGAAUAGGUUCAGGAGAUGAGAGAAUUAAGGAUACGCACUAAAAAGACUAUCUAAUGCAUAAUGAUGUGCCGAAAAAUUAGAACAAUUUUGUUACCCGACCAACCCUUAGGAGAAGCAAAUGCAACCCGUAGACUAAUCAGUAAAAUUAAAGAAGUAGCAUUUAAUGCAAAAAUAGCCAAUAGGAAAGCAAUAGUCAAGUUUUUAAUCCUCCAAUCUACCAACAAAAGAAUUAUACCAUUUGAUCCCUUUAUCAACCAAAAAAUUGUAUGCCUUAUAUACGGCUUUGGGUAACCCUCUCAACAACUAGAGAUCCAUUCGAUGAACAAGGCGAUUAGUUGAAGUACGGAUCCUCCCAAUAUUGGGAGUAUCCGUACUUCAAUUGAGCUGAUGACAAAUCAUUUCACCAUUUUAGUUGGAACUUUAGGCGGUUCUCAAAAAAAGAUUAUUCCUAAAGUUUAGACUAAAAGGAAUGUAUAAACCAAUGCUUUCCAUAGAUUCGAUCGUGGUUUACAAUUAUAUCUUCCAUACCUGUUUAUUUGGGAUCGUCUCCCGAAUAAAUAAAGAACAAGAGUCAAAGAAAAGGCAGUGAUUCAAAUCUAGAUUUAUCUGGUACCCGAUCUAAAAAUCACAAAAGGAAAAUAAAAAAGAAAAAGUAACAAGUAACAAAACAUAUUGUAUCAGACUACUUGUCUUCUUGUAGUUGGAUCUCCAAGCUUUUGGAAUGCUCCGAAUUCCAGUUGAGCAUCUAAAUCUAGAUCAAUACCAGCAAACACAUCUCGAAACAAGGUUCUAGCUCCAUGCCAAAUGGAUUUAGUUUUUGUCCCAUAAUCCCCACUACCAUAUAUAUCGUGCAACGUGUCAUCUGUCUGUAUGUUUUUUUUUUCAUUCGAUUUUUUUUUAAGCAUAACAUAAUAUAGCGUAUUUGUAUAAUUUAUAAUAUAAAAUAUCUUCCUUUAAGCAUUCCUUAGCUCUGAUUUAUUGAAUUUCCUUUUAUCUAUUUCUUCAUCUUCAUCGAAAAAUAUAUCUUUCAAUGCAAUAGUUAUAUGACAAGUAGAUCUUUUUAUAGGAUAACCCCAUCCUCGAGCCAGGGGUUUCAUUUUUUCACAGUUGCGUGUUACAGAUAACGCCAGCCACAAGGACCACUCUUGUGUUAUAACUAAUAUAGAUAAAAUUAGGUGAUGCAAUAAAAUUAAAGAAGGGAGCGACGUUGAAUUAAGAAAAAUGAUUGAAGAAUUGUUAUUUUAUAGGUUAAUAGGUUAUUUAUCAUUGUCAUAUUCCCCAAAGUUUAUGUUUUGGACUGUUUAAAUUGUUCUAGUUAACGUAGCUAUGAUCCGGUCAGUUUUGGCUCAUUAUGUAUGGAUUCGAAGGAAACAACGAGAUUUACAAAAGUAAAUGAGCACAUGGGGAUUUGGCAAAGUAUUCACGUCUAAAUAGAUAAAAUAUAGAUUGAAGAGCUUUGGGAAAAUUUGAUAUUUGUUGUUUGUACCAUACCUCGUCAAUCCCAAAGCCACCGAGCACCGGUCAACUCUGUACCUUCAAGGACCCACUGAAGAUUUGAUGUGGAGGCACUCUUGCCAAAGCAGACGAGUUCCUCUCCAAUAAAGAGACCAAUCACAAAACGACACAUGUCAACAUCAGAAUAAAGCUCCUAGAGUCCUAGAUCAAUUGUUGACAGGAUCCGAAAACUUUCGGCAUCUUUAAAAGGAGACUGUUCUCUUGCAAUUAAUUUCUAAUGUCUUUAUUGUACUUAAACUCGUCAUUAGAACUCACUAAUGAUGAUUAUGCUUAAACCUAUGCAUUGUGUAAACUCUUCACUAUUAAUAAGAACUCAUAUACCUUCAUGGACGUAACCUAACUUAGGUUGAACCACGUUCAUCUUGUGUUUGCUUCCCUACGUCUAUCUUUUUACAUAUUAUCCUCCCCAGGUGACCGGACGAACCUUGCGAAGGUCACAAACUUGUCACUUAACGUUGUUUCAAAGUCUAACUGAUUUUGCGGAUCAACGUUUUACACCGUUUGUGGGGACGACACUAAGUCCUACUCUGACCAGCUUUGUCAGACUAGUUUCCAUUUGAUAAGGCAUCGCUCUCCAACAUGGGGAGUGAAGGAAAGUACAUCAUGCAGAAAAACACCCCUUGCAUGCCUAGUGUGAGGCAGCGAAUGAGGGAAAGGAACAAGCCUGUUAUUCAAGUCCAAGAGGUUAGAACUCAGAAUAAAAUAUAAAAAAUGGCGAUACGGAAUGAGAUCCUCCAACAGCAGUAUGUGAAGCUCUUCGAGAUGUUUCACGAGGUUAUACAAACUCAGUCUCAAGAGUCAUUGCCCUCUUGACAGCGGAUCAACACAUAGGUACCCACGCGAAGUUUCACAUGUCUUCAACACGGGGAUUCUUAAUAAGGAAUGGCCUUCUACCCAAGAUAUUGAUCAACACGAGACUUCUCUCAACCCAGCUGCUUCAAAUCGAAACAAGAUAAGUGGAAGAUGACAUCUCCUUGCAAAACGAUUGGAAUGAUCAAAAGCUGGUUAUCGCGACUGUUAAUACCUCUUGAGGCAUCGUCGAGAAAAACCUAUCCCUAUAGACUCAAGGAUUAUUGACCCAAGGGUCAUCGAAGGAAUCAAUCUGUUACCAUAAUCAAGGUCAACUACUAACCUAAGGAAGAAACAACAAGACUUAGAUGGACAAGAAGGUGUUUGAGUCUCAAGGAACUUUGAACCGAAAUUUUCUUGAAGCCAGUAUGGUGAAUAAAAAAAAAAAGUCACAUACUCUUGACUAAACUUCUCCACUUCCAAGAAAUGAUGGAAACUUACGAAUGAGGGUUCCAAUAGUCCCUGACGCCACUCAGGACCCCCUUAUCCUGCAGCUUUUUGAGGAAGUGAACAGACUAAAGGCCAAACGCCAUACUAAGGUACCUGACUGGAAUUAGCCGAGGCCAGGCCCUCUCUGACAAGAAGGAUCUUUGGCACCCCUUUACAAGGAGAAACAAAAUAGAAGAUUGGUUGCCAUCGUAAAUUGGUGAGGGGGAAGAUAGAUCCAAUUGAGCAUAUCUAUCUCUUUGAAUCCACCAUGGUAUACUGAGGCAUAAUAAUGAAGAACGAUGUCUCAUUUUCCCCUUCAUUCUUUCUGUGGGAGCUCUCAAUUAGUAUUGUUGUCUUCAACCUGAUACAAUAGAUUCUUUCAUUAAGCUUAAUAUGACCUGGUAAGAUGCGGAACCUGUGCCAAAUAUGAACCCUGGUUCAAAACUGCUGCGAUUGAGAAAUUCGCAAUGAACAGGUGGAUCUGUAUUAGUUGCUUUGCCAUUUGUCAAUGCAAAGCCAAUGAGUAGCAGCACACCAAAGAGCAAACAUCGUGAAUAUUUCAUUGCCAUAACUUGGGAGUUUUGAUAUCGAUCGAGAUAAUUAAGUUAUCUCCUCCGGGAAUAUUGCAUGGGGUUUAUAUAGAGAAAGGGAGGAAGGGAUAUGGUGUCUACGUACUAGCUCAUGAGAAUAGUAAAGGGUUAAAAUUUGUAAACAAAAUUGGCUUUGAAAGUCCUAGUUUAAAGACCAAGUCAUGGUAUGUUUCAAAAAAAAAAAAAAAGACCAAGUCAUGGUCUGUAGUUUAAAAGAAAGCACGUUCCAUGUACCCAAAAGUUGCGUAUAUAUGUACGUAAAAGAACGGAUCAUCUAAACAAAAAGACUUAUAUUGAACUAUUCAUUUUAUUGAUAUAUUUGGAUAACUAAACAGUCUUCAAUUUGAAUAGUUUUUUUGUAUACAUGAUAUUCAAAUUAAGAUCAAAAAAUUAGUAACUUAUUCAAACAGUAGAAAACUACUUGACCCAGCAAAAAAGUAGAAAUUUAUGACCAGAAUUCUUUACAUAAGUACAUAACGGAUAAAGAUGAAGAAUUUAAUCUUGAUCUUUUUGUUCUUGUUAGAGUUUUAGUAUUGAAUCGUUAAACCCAGUGGUUUUGUGAAAUUGUCUUUCCACUAUAAUUAAGAAGGCAUCGAAAUAGCUAGGUUCUCAAAUUGGCUAUUUUGCUCCUAAAGAUUGUGAAAGGAUUCCAUUGGGGCGGCUAUUUCGAAGGUUUGGACACCUUCAAAGUAUAGUAGUUACACAUUCUUCUUGCUAGUACAAGAAUGAGAAUAGUAAAGGGUUAAAAUUUGUAAACAAAAUUGGCUUUGAAAGUCCUAGUUUAAAGUCCAAGUCAUGGUCUGUAGUUUAAAAGAAAGCACGUUUCAAGUACCCAAAAGUUGUGUAGGUACGUUAAAGAAUGGAUAAUGCUUGCGUUCCACCUAUGAGGGAUGAACAUAUUCUACAAAUUUUAUAUUGUCAUCGUUCCGUUUCAAAAUAUUUCUUUCAAGAUCAUCAAAACAAAAACAAUUAUUUGAAUCUGAGAUCGUUUAGUCAUUUAAAUAUAUGAACCCAAUUGACAGUGUCGACACUAAGUAAAAGAUUUAUAACGAACUAUUUUUAUUGAUACAUUUGGAUGAAUAAGCAUUCUUCAAUUGGAAUAGUUUUUUGUAUAUAUGAUAUUCAAAUUAAGAUUAAGAAAUUAAUAACUGAUACUACAAAAAUACUUUAUUUAUUAAAAAAAAUAAAAUUCCUUGAGUUGAAAAGUAAGAUAAUGUACACAACAGUUCGAUCGAUCUCAUCUUGAUUCGAAAUGAUCAAUCCUUGAGUUACCCUUGAGUUUUCCAGCAAAAGAAAAUGUUUUCUGUAUUCGGAAACAAAUAGUCAUUUAUCUGCAUGUUUAUAUUAUGUCUGUCCAACUGUUGAAGGGCAUAACUUUUGAAGUUGAAUAUGGACGAUUAGCUACAGAGACUUAUUCAAACUAUAGAAAACUAUUUGACACCACAAAAAAGUAGAAAUUUAUGACUAGAAUUCUUUACGUAUGUACAUAAUCGAUAAAGAUAAAGAAUUUAAUCUUGAUCCUUUACUUCUUGUUAGAGUUUUAAUGUUGAAUCCGUGAACCCAGUGGAUUUGUGAAAUUGUUUUUCCACGCAAAUUAAGAAGGCAUCGAAAUAGCUGGGUUCUCUCAAAUUGGCUAUUUCGCUCCUAAAGAUUGUGAAAGGAUACCAUUGGGGUGGCUUCUUCUUGGUAGUACAAGAAAUUGAUUAGCUGUUUAAAAAAAACAGGUUUUUUAUUAGCUUACAUCUAUUUAUUUUGAUUUAAUAUUUUUUUACAAUUCAAAAAUACAAAAUUUUGACCCCCCCUGUAAUUUUUCUAAUUUUUUUCUUUAUUUGAAUUUUUGGGACUUAUAUUGAAUUUUAAUGUGUAUCACAACUUGAAGGGAUUGGGAGGGAGGGUCAUUUCAUUUUUGGAUAUAGAACGAAUAGGUUCAGCAGAUGAGAGAAUUAAGGAUACGCACCAGAAAGACUAUCCAAUGCAUAAUGAUGUGCCGAAAAUUAGAACAUUUUUGUUACCCGACAAACCCUUAGGAGAAGCAAAUGCGACACGUAGACUAAUCAGUAAAAAUUAAAGAAGUAGCAUUUAAUGCAAAAAUAGCCAAUAGGAAAGCAAUAGUCAUGUUUCUAAUCCUCCAAUCUACCAACAAAAGAAUUAUACCAUUUGAUCCCUUUAUCAACCAAAAAAUUGUACACCUUAUAUACUGCUUUGGGUAACCCUUUCAACAACUAAGAGAUCCAUUCGCUGAACAAGGCGACUAGUUGAGGUACGGAUCCUCCCAAUAUUGGGAGUAUCCGUACUUCAAUUGAGCUGAUGACAAAUCAUUUCACCAUUUUAGUUGGAACUUUAGGCAGUUCUCAAAAAAAGAUAGCGAAAAAAAUUAUUCCUAAAGUUUAGACUAAAAGGAAUGUAUAAACCAGUGCUUCCAUAGAUUCAAUCGUGGUUUACAAUUAUAUCUUCCAUACUUGUUUAUUUGGGAUUGUCUCCCGGAUAAAUAAAGAACAAGAGUCAAAGAAAAGGCAGUGAUUCAAAUCUAGAUUUAUCUGGUACCCCAUCUAAAAAUCACAAAAAGAAAAUAAAAAAGAAAAGUAACAAGUAACAAAACAUAUUGUAUCAGACUAGACUACUUGUCUUCUUGUAGUUGGAUCUCCAAGCUUUUGGAAUGCUCCAAAUUCCAGUUGAGCAUCUAAAUCUGGAUCAAUACCAGCAAAAACAUCUCGAAACAAGGUUCUAGCUCCAUGCCAAAUGGAUUUAGUUUUU
rnacentral:lncRNA from 1 species